rnacentral:rRNA from 1 species
AUUGGCCUUUAAUUGGGGUCUGGAAUGAAUGGAUACAUAUGUAAUUACUAUCUUGUUUGCAUUAUACUCAAUUUACUAAGUAGGUGAAAAUUCCUAUUAGCUAAUUCGUAGGACGAUAAGACCCUUAGAAUUAUAAAUAAAUGGUAGUCCAGAUAUAUCAAACAUUUUUGUUGGGGCGACAUAUUAUCAUAUAACAUAAUAUAUAUAAAUAUUAACAUGACUAUAUUAAUCAGUAAGAAUUAAUUACCUAAGGGAUAACAGCAUAAUAUAAUAUAUGUUUAUGACCUCGAUGUUGGACUAGGUAUAUUUAAAAUUAGAAGUUAUAAAUAAUUGUUCUGUUCGAACAUUUACACCUACAUGAUCUGAGUUCAGACCG